GGGUAAUCUGAAGAAUUGUUAUCAAAGCAUACAAAUGGAUAUUCAUGUACAAACAAUGUUUGAAUAAUCAAAUAAAUAAACAAGAUUAGCUUUGGGAAAAGUCCCCAGACCCUAGGACAGAAAGUGUCGCCCGUAAUGGUAAUGUCUUAGUUUGUGCCACCCUGACAAAGAAGGUAUAUUUAAUUACUCGAGUCUUGUGAAUCAUCUUAAGUCAAUGGUCGUAGUAAAAGGCUAAUACAAUUAAGUUAAAAGAUCAAAUUCUAUACAAAUUGUAAUGAAUUUUAAAUCUUUAAUCUCUACUUAAUGGGGCUUACUCUCUUGGUUACC
rnacentral:RNase_MRP_RNA from 1 species